rnacentral:rRNA from 1 species
UACGUAGGGUGCGAGCGUUAAUCGGAAUUACUGGGCGUAAAGCGUGCGCAGGCGGUGAUGUAAGACAGAUGGGAAAUCCCCGGGCUCAACCUGGGACCUGCAUUUGUGACUGCAUCGCUAGAGUACGGCAGAGGGGGAUGGAAUUCCGCGUGUAGCAGUGAAAUGCGUAGAUAUGCGGAGGAACACCGAUGGCGAAGGCAAUCCCCUGGGCCUGUACUGACGCUCAUGCACGAAAGCGUGGGGAGCAAACAGG